CUUUAUCUCAGGGCGGAGGAACACAGAGGAGUGGUUAUGUGACGUCACUGUGGACCAUCCCUGGGCCGCAGGCCGGGGCGCGGCUGAGUCUGGCCCCACUUCCGGAGGUGUGGCUCCCGGUGGCCUGUCCACGCCGUUCCCGGAACAGCUCAGAAAGACGUGAAACGGAGUGUUUGGUUGACUCCCUGAAACAACAUGUCAGAAUUCUUCAUUGCAAAGACAAGCCAAUCUGGUUUUCUGACUACCAAUCGAGAGCUCUUCUCACCAGAACAUGCAGUGUGUAGUUACGGCCUCAGCUUUGAUGGGACGAUUUCUAGAAGCAGUGAUGGGGCUCUGGGUCAGGACAUUCAAGUAGACCAUUGAGAAAAACGCUGAGGAGAGGAGCCAAGAGGAAAAGAAGAGGGAAAGCACUCUCCUUGUGCAUCUGACUCAAGCCAGGCAAUGCGUGUGUGCUUUGCUGCAUCACAGUACCUUAAAGAAGCUGGGGUUGUUCUAGUCUUCCAUGGUAGAGAGGAAGCUGAAGCUCAGAGAGGGAAAGUGACUUGUCCAAGGUCAUACAGCCUAGAG